CAAAAUCACCAGUGUUAAAUUUUCAGGGAUGGUGUUAAAUACACAGUGUUGAUGCUGUUUUAACACUAUCUGGUAAUAAAAUAACACUGCCAUUGCUAGGCCAGUGUUAUAUCCACGACAGUGUCAGUGUAAAACAAGGGUGUUAUCAGAUUUCACUCUGAGCGGUGUAAAUCAAGCCACGCCUCCACUAAACAUAUCCUGUCAGGGAUUUUACCGCCAUUUUCUUUCAAAGGAGGACUGAAGAGAGCAGAUGCUAGUUUGGUGAAAGUACACACUGAGUGCUUCAAAUCAUUCAGAAGAGAUGCUGUUUUUAAGGGCAGUUUAUUAAAGAAGACCUGACAUGGAUGACUUCCAAUGAGAAACGACUGCUAAUACUUAUAUAAAUUCAUUACAGAAGGACCCUACCAGACUAUAUUUGAAUACGGCAUACCCAUGAAUUCUGAACUGUUAUUCCUUAACCCAGUUUGGAGGAUAAGAGCUUACCAACUAGUUAUAAAUAUGCUGAGGCGAUGUAUUGCAAAAUAGCCAACAUACAACAAUUAAAGGAUAAUUGCAGACUAUAUCCUGAUGAAGAUAUGGAUGACCCUCUGUCUGGUCAACAAUAGUUUAAAUAUGGAUGGGACAGUGACGUGGCAGCUCUUCCCUGGCUCAUUCAGCUCUUGCCUUCAUUUGUGAAAGGAAGAAAGACUGGAGAGGGUCAAUGUGCAACUGAAGCUACUGAUUGUGCUGUGUGAUGAGCAUCAAUCCAUGCUUUGAGGUGGAUGGAUCAGCACAGCCCUGCCUGCUCUGCGUUGGGAACAGAAGUUUCAUCCAGAGUUUUUGCAUCAUUCUGGACCAAAAAGCCAUUCCCUGCAUGAUGAAGACCACUGAUGCAGCCUUCCACUACUGUACAUCAUGAGUAAAACAACUACAGAACUUAAUACCAGGUUGGAACGUAUUUAAGAAAAAUGAAACGUCUUUUGAAUUGAAAUGUCUGUUUUGUUAUGGAAAAAUCUUUAGUAUUGUGAAGGAUAAGCAUUUCUGCCUGCCAGUAAGGUAAUUGCAGUGUAUUUUAAUAUUCAAGUAGGGUAGGGUGGCUAAUUUUUUUUAACUCUCAUUUGAUUUAUUAAAGACUUUAUAAUAAGUGGUUUUCAUGUCACUGCGCUGUGGUAUAAGAUAACUUUCAUUAUUCCAUACUGUAUUCUGUUUCUAAUUGUAGCUGAGGUAUUUAAAUAAGCGGUGUUAAAUGCAAAGUGUUGUGUGUAUCAAUGUAAAUAUUUAAUGUGAUGUACUUUAAUAAAA